AAACGAUAAAGGCAAACCUUUCGAAAGAAAGGGACGCAAAGCUAUAGGGCCUUACCCGCAAGGGUUGGCAGCCAGCCACCGAA
rnacentral:ncRNA from 1 species